AGCCAGCCCCUCAUGGCUGUAAUCCCUUGCUCUAGUAAAUAAUUCUUUAUAUUGAAUUUUCUCUGUUCAAAUUACUAUGUGAUUUCUCUCUCCGGACUGGACUCAGACUGAUACAAGUAUGGACCCCCUAGAAGGAACAACAAAUGGAGCUGCCGUCUAUAUACACACGUCGAUUUAGGUCUCUGUCUCUGGCAACUGAAAAGAGACCCAACAAAACAUCUUACAGAGCACCAGGGCCGAUUCUUGAUGCGUCGUUAGAUUCUGUGUAGCCAGAAAGCAGAAACAGAAACAUAUCCAAGCCAGGCGGAGGAAAAACUUUGAGGCCUGUUUAUCCAGGUUCAAGACAAUUUCUAUUUAAAAAAAAAAAAAAAAGAAAAAAAGAAAGAAAAAAAAAAGCUCAUAACCGAAUAAGUUCAGAUUCUCCUGAGUGUCAGAGCUAAGAUCUAACGCCUCUGCUGGUUUCCAUGACAACCACCAGCAGCUACAAUCAUGCCGAACCAAGAACCAGAGGAUUCAGUAACUUUA
rnacentral:lncRNA from 1 species